ensembl:lncRNA
UAUUUAUUGUAAGUUGUUACAUUUAGAUUUCUUUCUCUAGCAGCACGAUUUAAAUUACAGAUAUUCAAGGGCAGUUACCAUAAGUUGGAGUUUUCUUUUAAUGCAAGAUGUCAUUGUGUAAACAAAGACAGAGACAGAACCGUAGAUCAAAGUGUACCAAGACUGAGCACCGUGUAAACAUGAUGCUUAAAGGCUGAUGAACAACAUUUUUUUGUGUCUUUUCAGAUUAAAAAGAAAAACAAUGACAGAAAAACUUCUGACUGGAAUAAAUUAACAGCAACAGUAAAGAUAAAAUUAAAAUAAUAGCAAGCUUCUUUUGUGAGUGAGUUGUACAAUUUUACUGGGAGCUGACCUGGUUGCUUGCAGUCCACAUCAGUCACAUCUCAAAAGGUUCAGUGCCCGUUAUAUUAUGGUUUUGUUGGUUACAUGUUGGGUAGCUGGGUUACAUGUGAAUGAUUCAGAAGUGACACAAACCCACAACAGCAACAUGAAAAGAAAGCUCAUGAAAUGCGUUUCAUCAGGAUCUUUUUAUAUUCCAACAAUUCUUUUCACCCCGUUCCACUAAAGUGGAAGGUAGAUUAUUAUUUUGGCACAUUUCAUCCACCACAGAGACAUACUCAUUCUGUACUUAGUUGGACAUUUGCAGUUCGAGUUUCCCUCUUUUUAUUUAUUUAAUUGAAUUCCACAAAGCUCUAUAUUUUUUUAGGCUGUUUAUUCGUAAAGAAACUGUGUGACGUUCAGCAAAUAGGCUUAUUUUCUUUUCUUGAUGAGAGUAAAACAGGGACUGCAAGAAUGAAACUGGAGCCUGCUGCUAUUACAAAAAAAAGAAAAAAAUGGUUUUAUGUGAGGUUUAUUUCUAGCUUAUGGUUCAGUCACUCUAGAGGAAAAAUUAACAUGGCAAAAAUAAAACUAAACCAAUGGUCCCCUGGUGAAUACACUGAAUAUUUUGCAAUUGGUUGGAGACUGAUUGCAAGUGGUUGCAGCACCCACUUUCAAGUAUGAGGCAAUUUCACAGGUUGCCUAUUGGGGAGCGGCCUCUCAUCCACCAGGCAACCCAUUUCACCUGCAGAAAACAUGGCAUAAAGCAAGACGCGAGGGCAUUGAAAAUAAAGAAAUACCAGCAGUCAACUCAGGCUGACUAGAGUCACUCUGGUUUGCAAAUAAAUUGGCAUCUAAUUUAUAAAUACACGCAGACUGUACCAAAACGGCACACGGUUGCAAUAAUCUUGGUCAUGCCUCAGUCUCCAACCCCGUUUUUCCCUAGUGUGACUGCAGCAUUAAUAACCUCAGGUCAGGCUUGCAGUUUCUUCCCAUCUUCCCAAAUAAAUCUCACCAAAAAAAGUACACAAGUAUAUAUCAUCCGUUUUCCUUUUGACACUCCUCCCUGCAAUUUUCUUUAAACCUAGUUUGUUUGUUUUUAAACUGGAUGCAAAUAUUUUGUCUGUCUUGUUCCAUCAUGCAAAAAAAAUGCCAGUACAAGCAUGACUGAAUCUCUCUCACAAAGUCUAAACUCCCUAAUACUUUUUAAUUUUCUCUCUUUCUUGGACUACAGAUUUAAAUCACUGUGUGCCACAAGACUUGAGUCCCUCCAGUGCUAUUUUACAACAUGAGGUUGGGUUUAAACUAGAAGAUAUAAAAGUCUUUACAUGCUACAGUUAAGAACUGACAAUCAGUUUCCUCUGAUAAAUUUCAAAGUCAUACAUACAAGCAGUCAUCUUGAAGACUGGAGACAGUGAGAUGCUUUCUAUUGUCUUAAGACUUCACCCUUAAACUGGCUACUAUUCUCAUCUCUGCAUUUCAAUUCUGAAAAGGGAGGUCACAUCUGUUUAGUGCGGCAGGAUGAGGCUCCAAAUUUAAUAUACAUCUCACCCCAGACCACCUUCUGGACCAUUAGUGACCACAAAGAUUAAAUUUCACCUGUCAAAAUAAAGCAAUCAGGAUCUCGCUCAAGAGACAUGUCAAGCAACCAGUGAAAAACAGCGAAAAGUUGAGCCUGACUCUGGAUUAAAAAGCACUGUCCUGGUAAAUCUCUCUUCAAAUCAUGCAUGUGGAAAUAACUGACCAUAUCUGUUACUACAAAGAUGUUCAUUUAAUCAUUCGGGUAAUUCAUGAGACACUCAAAACAAGAAUUAAGUACCCAUAACCAUCAAUAUUAUAGUCAAACAUACUAGAAGAAAAAUAUGAACCUCUCAAAAGAGUUUCUCAUAUUUUUAAUUGUCUGCAUACUGCAGUACUUGAAUACAUACUCAUACAGUAUCGUUUAUAGCAAAUAACUGAAUUAUUUCAUUUAUUUAGCACAAAGCAUGCUGAAUAGAAAAAAAUGUCACUUUUCUAAUCGCCUAAAGUGACGGUAAAAUUCUUUUUUUCAUUUUCACCUGCAGAUAAUUUCUCGAUGACCGUGAUCUAUCUACAAAGGCAUGACAUAAAGCAAGAGGCUUAGGCAUCUAAAUCAAUAAAGAGAGAAGUGAUUGCCUAAAACUGUUGAGAACCAACUUCGAGCAGUACCCGCACGGACAAAAUCUCUUUCCGAGAGUAGCACAAACACCUCCAGAAGAGGUACAAAACAGACAAUAUGAGGGAGGAAUUAAACAUCAGUGCAAUUUUUUGCUGUAAAAUUGGCCCGUCUCUCCACUAACGGCUAAUAACAGAGUUUUAUAUGUGAUGUCACAAAGAGAGAAAGCGUAAGCCUGACAGGGGGAGAGUGAGACAGACAAGAAAACAAGAUCUUGAGGUCUGUUGUGAAGCAUAAAGAGGCACCAAAUCCAACUGAGGGAACACACAAAACCGACAUCAAUUAAUAAACCUUUCUUUAGCCAUGAUGCACUGUGGAAAGAAGGAAAACAAACACACACACACACACACACACACACACACCAUCAACCAUCCUACUGUCACUUCCAUUUCAGUUAAGGAGCUAAAUUUUCCUGACAAAAAAAAAAAAAAAGUUAAAAAAUAAUUUAGAUCUGAAUCAAACCUCAACUGAACAUUAAAAGUGGCUCAUUAGAGCUGAAUAAAUGGUCCCGUAAGUAACUUAUAACUGACUAGUCUAUCGUUUUGCCUUAGUGGAGUGUUUAACAAACACAAAGCCCACUUCUGCUCCACAUCGAUGCUACUGUAUAAACACAGUGAUAGUCUGACUGGAUGUGGCUACAAAAAGAACAGUAAGUUGAAGAAUAGAAAAAUAAGUUGCUGUUGCCACAGUGUUGCCACUCAUUUCAUCAUAUAAUUCACAACAUUCGUGGAGAGUCUACUGACAAACAACAAAGAUAAUCACAAUAAAAUAUGGAAUACUUCAUGGUGAGCGGGGUUUAUUUGAAUGGUUAGAGUGAAUUACUGCGACUUGCGUGUGGACAGUGCACACUUCAAAGGCAGAUACUGUCAUUGACUCGGCUAGCUUGUUUCCAUGUUUGCGCCAGCUCCAAAGCCCUUAUAAAGUGAGACUAUGUAACUUUUGAAUGAGUCAAUAACACGGUCUCACUCUUAGAGAUAAAACAAUUAUAUUCAUAAGCAGUAAAACAAACUCUUUCCACUCAGUAUACUCAAAGUUUGGAUGUAACUAAGACUCCUGUCACACAGGCGUAGAGACCAGUUGGAGACCACUUGGCAACCAUCAGUCACAGUGGAAAAAGGAGCAGUUUCAAACCAGGUGUGAGAGGAUUCUGGAUGUUGCUUGCCAUCUCUGAAACUGAUAGCAAAGUAGUAUACGAUGAGUAGAUUGCUACAGUUGCCCUAAGUUUGCGUGACACUGACUUGUCUGCGUUUGCCGACUACUCGCCAAGAGGUUUUAAAACUGUAAAGAGUGCAACGCCUUCAAAGUAAAAGCUGCACCUUUUGAAACGUGUUGCUUCAGCCAUAGAUCGUAUACAACACAGAUGUAGCUCCUGUAUGUCUUGAAAGACAUACAGGCCAGCAACUGCUCACCAAUUGAUCAGAGUUUUUUUUUCUACAGCGAUCAGUUUGCCAAGCGUUCACCGAGCAGUCUUUAGGCCUGACAUUACUGAGUGUGUUUGCUAACUCUAUGACUUGUGCUACUUCUAAACAACAUUUUGUUUUAACCCUGAAGUUGUAGUAGGCAGAAAUAUGGAUUUUUUUUUAAAAAAAAAAAAGAAAAAAGAAAAAGAAAGGGGGGGGGGUUGACAAAACAAUUACAGAAUAAAAAAAGAAAAAAGAAAAAUCAUCCCUCCUCCUGCCACUCUCCCCUCUCUCUUUCAAGCCCCACUAACAGGUCGAGCAUAGGAAUAUGGUUGUAUGUCACUCCCCUUCUGGUUUCACAUUCCCCAACGUUAAGUCUCUGGCUUAGCCCAUUGUACCACCUUAUCCGCUGUUCUUCAUCCUCGUCUUGUACUACUCACCCAAUCUGGUCAGAAGUGGGAGAAGUUUGCCUUUAAGUCUUUUUGUAGUAGCACUUUGAUAUUGUUUCCGGUUACUGUUUAGUUGAGUAGUCGAGUAGAUUUUAAUUCAUUAGAUUUUAGUUAAAGCACUAAAGGAAAGCUCUCCCGUGUGUGAUUUGGUCUGUAAGGACCUGUAGUUGAUCAAAAUUGUUUAUCACAGGCAUCACAAGCCCAGAGGAGAUGCAGGAGUGAAGUUCUUUUUCAGAUCAUAAAAACUACGGAUAUAUUUUUCUUUAAACACUUACUGCUGUUUAAACACCUGCCUACCCCUACUUUGGCAACAAAAGGUUUUUCCUACCAAAAGUUACAUAGUCUUAGGCUUUAAAAAUGAUAAGGACAAAUCCUUGGUGGUCCCCUGUUUACCCCACUGUCUAAUAACAUGCUACUGUCAGGGUAACAUGUUUGUCACAGAAAGUCAUGAUUUGGUUGAUCUUUAAAUAAAUAAAAUUUAUUCCUUCAGUCAGGUAAUACUGCACAGGGUCAGCUACAAGUCUUGUAGCCUGAGUAAUGACAGUUUUAUGACAGUCAAGUUGAAUUCCAGUCAUCUAGGUUACCAAGACUCCAGCACACAGCCACAUAAUGUCAGACAACACAUUUAUUUGUUUUCAUCAAGGUUUCUUGUUUUUUUUUUUUAUCAUCACGAAGGCAUAUACUAUUUACUCUGUAUAUUAUUUGUUUUGUAUGUAUGUAUAUGUAUAAACAAAAAUAAGCGUACAUUUUUGCUGAAUAAGAAGAAUAUCAGCAAAGGGCAAUGUAAACCAUGGUCCAUCUAAAACAGGUGAAAGGUGCAUUAGCUCACCCUUUCCCAACUCACCCACAGUAACAGAUUUGCAUAGGCAAAAAUGGGAUUAGCCCUUAGACAGUGGAUUCCUGAAUUCUUUAUAGAGAUGCAAAAUCUAGUUCAGCUCAACACAAGUUCAAAACAAACACACAUACAAACAAACAAACAGAAAUAUGUUGACUAGGCCAAACUCUCUUUAACCCCUCUGGUCAUAUACAUAGUCAUUUUCUGUGCACAUUUUUGUUUACAGUGUUAGGCUUCAAGUAGAUCUAAAAACAACUUUUACAUUGACAACUAGAUGUGAAAUAAAUUAACCAACAUGAGAGGUAGUGAAAAGCCUACAGAGACGUUUGUUUUCUUUUUUAUACAAAGAAAAAAAAAACAUGUCAGUAAGGCCAAAGCUUCGCAAACCUCCUCCAUCCCGUUAGGACACUUCAGCUCUAGCUCGCAACCUUUAUUUAAUAUUUUUCUUUAUAUAUUUUUUACUCAAUAAAACCAUAGCCACAUUUUAAAGACCCUCUCACUUGGAAUCCAUGGAAAUUUAAAGACAAAAAUCUAAACUUAGCGAUGACAACUAUAUCACUUCACAUCAUCGUCAUUGCUUGCAAAAUCCACAUUUAAAACGCAGGUAUUAAAAAUAAACAACUGUGUACUUCUCCCCGCUGUGUAAAAGUCACAAUAAAUUACGAGGAAUGGACGCGAGCAGAAAACCUGGGUUUCUACCGUGUCUGUCCUCCUUGUAAAACGCUCCCAGUUUUAAACUCCAGCUUGCCCGUUAGCCCUGGGCAGAGACUCGCGCCAGCUUCAAACCUGCUGGCUGUUAGCUUCCCACAGUUACGAGUAUUUAAUAAGGUACACACAUCUCACAAUUUAUAAAUGUAAACUUGUUUUGAUUGCACCAUGAUUUCAAUAUCUGGUUGUUGGUGAAACAUUCUCAUGUUACUUAUAUAGACUCUGAAAAAAACCUGCAAAAAAACAAGGAAAUGUAGUUCUAGUGUGCAGAAGAGGGAUGUGUCUGCAUGAGAGCUUUAUGAGUUAAAAAGUUCCAGAGUUGUCCAAAUACAAAUGUCUAAAAUGCUUUCACUUUGUGAAAAGGUAAAACUGUUCCAAGGAGUGAGAGUGAAAGCUGAUCUUGCGGUAUCAGAAUUGGUAAAUUACUCUGUAUUCCUCUGUUUCUGGUCAACUGGGCGCAUGCAUGCAGAACUCUUCAUUAAAGCAGCCAAGCAAUAUCAGUUCAAGCCCUUAUGGAUAUUCACAUAGCCUGAAUGUGAGUACUAUAUUGCCAAAGGUUAAACAAGAGUAUAUUUUUAAUAAGGAACACUGAAAAACUGUGGCGUGGUUAUUAGUUUCAACCUGUCUUCCUGACCAUUAUUCACAGCAGACAGCUUUUGUACUACUGUGACAUCCUGUCUGUUUCUUUUGUUGAAAUAAGUCUGGAGGAAACAUCAAAAUCCCAGGCUCCUGCAAAGGAUUUUUUUUGUAUUCAUUCGUUUCCUUAUUUAGUUUCUCCAACAAAACCUGAAGUUGCAGUUUAGAAACAGUGGCAACAAACAAAAACUUUAUAUCCUGAAAGGUGUUUAUUAAUUAACUUUCCGACAAGUGAGACAGAGCCUCAAAUUGACAUCCAAUUGCAUUUCAAAGGCCUGCUAGGCGUCGUGCAACAUCCGCUCUUAUAAUUAAUCUAGACCAAGCUUGGCACAUGAAUGUUAGGUAGUUAAAGGAGCCAGAAACAUGGAUGCCGACAUUAAUCAGUGAGGAGUGGCACCGUUUCAUUGACACUCUAAGAUGUGGCACUACUCACCCAAACAAGCCAGGAGGUCAGCUACCUAUCGAGUGCUGAAUACACUCAGAGGCUCAGUUAAUUACAAAAAAAAAAAAAAAAAAAAAAAAAAAGCAUAUACAGCACUCAUGCACUGUCUAUUGUACAUCCACAUGUUCAUGUGGAUGCACAUGUUCAUGUUCAAAUGUUUACAUCAUUAAAAGAAAAAAAUCCUUUCAUGUAUUAAAAAUGUUAAUGGGAGGCUUGGCACAACCGCUUAAACUCUCCUCUUUUUUUCUCUGGUAAAUGUGUCACUGUACCAUAAACACACGGCCGUUACCGUAGCAUGCUGUCAAAGUCUGAUUAGAAAAACAAACCAGAGUGUGCGCGAGGGCUGGCAGUGGAGUAGAAAAUUAGCAUGGCUAGCACAAGCAUGCUAACUGCUUGACUACAGCAUGCUGAAACCUAGACGGCUAGUUGAAAAGGCGAGUGUGUAGCAUGACUAUGCAAGCUUCUUUUACUAGCCCCGUGUGCAAGCGUUGUUAUUACCAACCCUCUUCACUAGCUCUGGUAUGAAGAAACAAGCGUCUUGAACAGGCAGUAGCUAACUGAAGGACCACCACACGGCAGAAGGACCAAGGCUCCACAGCCUAGCGACCAGUACUGACGUCAUCACGGCAUCUCUGACAUCGUGUUUGGGACCUGGUUCGGCGUAACUGCUUAUAACAGGCAUCCAAUCUCCGGUUUUUAGCCACAACUAAAGCUAAAGCCUUACAGACAAAAGCCAGGGUUUGAUAACCUUUUACAUUACACCCGCGCCUGCAAUUUCUGCUACUGUUCUUAAAGCAGAAGCGGCUUUCUAUAAUGCUCAAAAAUUCACUGUAAAACACUACAAGGUAAGCCCUCUUUUUC